GACGAACGCUGGCGGCGUGCUUAACACAUGCAAGUCGAACGAAGAGCGAGGGAAGCUUGCUUCUAUCAAUCGUAGUGGCGAACGGGUGAGUAACGCGUAAGCAACCUGCCCUUCAGAGGGGGACAACAGUUGGAAAAGACUGCCAAUACCGCAUACGAUCUAAUCUCGGCAGCGAGGAGAGAGGAAAGGUGGCCGCUAGAGGUAAGCCAUAACUGAAGGAGGGGAGUGCGUCUGAUUCGCUAGAUGGGGGGGCAACGGCGCACCAAGGCGAGGAUCAGUAGCCGGUCUCCGAGGCUGCACUGCCACAUUGGGCCUGGGACACGGCCCAGCCCCCUGCGGGAGGCAGCAGUGGGGAAUCUUCCGCGAUGGCCGCAAGUCUGACGGAGCAACGCCGCGUGAGUGCUGACGGCCUUCGGGUUGUGAAGCUCUGUUAAUCGGUACGAAAGGCCUUCUUGCGAAUCGUGAGAAGGAUUGACGGUACCGGAAUAGAAAGCCCCGGCUAACUCCGUG
rnacentral:rRNA from 1 species